UACGUAGGUGGCAAGCGUUAUCCGGAAUUAUUGGGCGUAAAGCGCGCGCAGGUGGUUUCUUAAGUCUGAUGUGAAAGCCCACGGCUCAACCGUGGAGGGUCAUUGGAAACUGGGAGACUUGAGUGCAGAAGAGGAAAGUGGAAUUCCAUGUGUAGCGGUGAAAUGCGUAGAGAUAUGGAGGAACACCAGUGGCGAAGGCGGCUCACUGGACCGGUACUGACGCUGAUGCGCGAAAGCGUGGGGAGCAAACGGG
rnacentral:rRNA from 1 species